rnacentral:tRNA from 1 species
CACUAAGAAGCUAUAGGACCAAAGCGACAGCCUUUUAAGCUGUAGAUAGGUGAUCUCCAACCACCCUUAGUGA